UACAUCUCAAGAAGGACCCUUAAGCCAAAUCAAAAUAGAAGCCAUCAAAUAUGUUUUUCUUAAAGUUACGUUUCGGGUAAGCUGACUUCGGGAGGCCAUAACCUCUUUAUAAUUUGAGAAUUUGGGAAAACUCUCAACAUGAAAGUUGUAGAUAAUUGAAAUAUCUUUCCAACCAUAGGUCGUGGGACGAAAUGUGAUAUCGGAGUAAUAAGAUAUAGACGUUUUAAGUCUGACAGGCCAAACUAAAUAGUGAAUUCGGCCCAACCCAAUUUUAAUUCGGGUCAGGCCCAAUACCCACGAAAUUAAUCAAAAUUCUAUGUCUUCCUUCAUAGUUUAGACCAAGAAAUAUCUGGAAAUUUCCAGAGAGAGUAAGAUAAGGGAAAGCUAGAGAGAAACACCAACAUCCACCACAAUUAAAGCCCCGAAUCUCAAAGCUCUUGAAGAGAAAAUUGUUGUACGUCGCGUUGGCUUCAAUUUGAGCUAGAAAUCAGCCAAUAAGGAGAAGAUUUUAUGUGGUGCUGCAAAUUUAAGGUUGAGACAAUAUUGGACAACAUAUACGUAUAAACGCUAAAGGUACAAAUACUCAUUUUGGAGAGCCGCCAACUUAGGAUUCUACUCAACGAGUUUGAAGUGCUCCAUUGUCUCGGAGCCCAAACUUUGGGUACUAAUCCUUAUAAUGUAUAUAUUUGUGUAUUUAGGGGUACGACGGGGCCCUGUCCCGUCAUAUGCUAUUGUUAAUUCUCUUAGAGGUCUGUAGACAUAUGAGUGGGUUGUAUAUAGAUGUUGUCCGGUGUACUAGUAUGACUUAUGUUUUUGGACGUUUACAUUCAGAAUGGAAGCCUUGUCGGCUUACAUAUUAUGUUAUCUUAUUUUUGACAAUUAAGACUCCCCAAGAAAUAGCUGAUUUUGGUAUAUAUAUAAGUGACCG